rnacentral:rRNA from 1 species
GUCCACGCCUAACGAUGUCUACUAGUUGUCGGUUAAUUAACUUGGUAACGCAGCUAACGCGUGAAGUAGACCGCCUGGGAGUACGGUCGCAAGAUUAACUCAAGGAAUUGACGGACCCGCACAAGCGGUGGAUGAUGUGGAUUAAUUCGAUGCAACGCGAAACCUUAACCUACACUUGACAUGGCAGAAAUCCCGGAGAGAUUUGGGAGUGCUCGAAAGAGAAUCUGCACACAGGUGCUGCAUGGCUGUCGU